rnacentral:rRNA from 1 species
AGGCUGCUGCCAUGAGGUGACUUCUGCCCAGUGCUCUGUGUGUCAAUGCCAAGAGAUUGAGCCAAGCGCGGGUAAACGGCGGGAGUAACUAUGACUCUCUUAAGGUAGCCAAAUGCCUCGUCAACCAAUUAUUGACGCGCAUGAAUGGAUCAACGAGAUUCCUGCUGUCCCCAGCUGCUAUCUGGUGAACCAACAGCCAAGGGAACGGGCUUGGACGUGCCAGCGGGGAAAGAAGACCCUGUUGAGUUUGACUCUAGCUUGCUGCUGUGCAACGACAUGAUGGGUGUAGCAUAGGUGGGAGGCAAGCACACAGUCAGUGACUGCAUGGGAAGUCCUUGUUGUGCAAGCCUGCAGUGAAAUACCACUACCUUCACCGUCGUUUUGCUCAGUGAGUGGCUUGAGAAUGGUGGCCAAUUGGACAUCAGUUGCUGCAAUCCAUAUGCUGUGGUGACUGUGGCCUUCAAACCCAGUUUCGUGGGUCCAAACAUGGCUCAAACCAAUGGUUUUGUGGCUGUGUGACUCUGUGGUGGCAUCCUCUCCAUGAUGUCACUGUCCAAUGCAAUUUGGAGCCUUGGGACAAUGGGCAGCUGGGGAGUUUGGCUGGGGCGGCACGCCUGUUACAUCACAACGCAGACGUCCUGAAGCAAUGCUCAGAUGGAACAGAAAUCUCCCACAGAGGAGAAGGCCAAAGGUGUUGCUGAUGUGAUGACUUCCAGUGCAAGUCCAGAACAUGCAAGUGUGGCCUAUCGAUCCUUUGGCAAGUAUCUCGGGUUUGUGACAUUGAAGCCAGAGGUGUCAGAAAAAUUACCACAGGGAUAACUGGCUUGUGGCAGCCAAGCGUUCAUAGCGACGUUGCUUUUUGAUCCUUCGAUGUCGGCUCUUCCUAGCCUUGCACCCGCAGCUGAGUCAAAGGGU